GUCACAACAAUUAUCAUGUUCUUCAAUAAUAUUGUUACCUCAUUUAUGUCUUUCAAAACAUAUUUAACUUAAAUCUUUUUUGCUCCUCAAACAUUUUGUGAAAAGUCUUAUCACUUCCCGUUUUCCGCGUUCUUUUGUCGUUUCAAACAAAUUUCCGGAAAUGCACGAAGUUGCAUGUGAUAAACGUCACGGAAAUUAACGGAAAGGCAUGUGAUAACAUACCGGAAGCAGUCAAUAAAGGCACCUUUAUCAGCCCGCUAUUGAAAUUCCAAGGAAUCUGGUCAAUAAACCCAGUAAUCCUUUCAUAGCCUUAUGAUAUUUUCAAAUGUUAUUGAACUGUAAAAUUUAAGAUAUAUUUUAUACAAGUAUAUGAUAAGAAAAGUUUAUCACAUGCUUCGAUUGUUAUCACAUGCCUUUCCGUAACGUUAUCACAUGGCAUUCCGGUAAUACUCGGCAAAUUCCGGAAAAUACACCUCA
rnacentral:lncRNA from 1 species